rnacentral:lncRNA from 1 species
UAGUAUUUUUAAUAGUUAUCUUGUUUGCUAUAUUAUUUUUAUAUACAAAAAGAAGGAGAGAAUAAAAUUAGUUUUUGAACCAAAUUAGUCUUGCUUGUAGCCCAAUUAAACCAAUCCCUUAGCCCAUUAACUCAAAAUCCCAAACCUAGACACCCAUUUAAGAUAAUAUACAAGAAAAAAUAAAAAAACCUAGACCUAGACUUGGAGAGAUCAGCCGUUGGACUAAGAGAACAACCCCCAUGGAGAGCUUCUUCUUCAAUCCUUGAACCACUCUAGGCCGCCGAAUACCCCACUGUCACCUAGCCUCACCACCACUCAGCUGCGAAAUUAGGAACAAAGCACACACACAUACUGGAAAAAGGAGAAUGGAAAAAAACUUAAAGGGGAUAUAGUAGAGGAGGGAACAGACAGAGAAAGAGAGGAAAGCUCAUCCUCUCUAUCACUGUCCCUCUCGCCACGAGAACCAGCUAAAAACAACUUCAAAAUAGUAUGAAAAUCCAACUCAAAUCAGCCCUGCCGCAACCCCGAAAACGCAUCAAACUUCACUUCUGGUCAGCUCUUUGAGCUUCGUUGUUCUUCGGGUCAAUUAGAGUUCGAGUUGUCGGCGAGAUUGGAGUCUCUCCGGCGAAGUUCGGCCAUUCAGCCUCCUGUCGAGGUCCUGUUCACGAUCUUGCUGCUCAUGUGCUUCAAAGCAGUCUAAGCAUUUGAAUUUCAAAUUCAAUUAAAGGUCCAUCCUUAACCUGAUCUCUUAGCCUAAGUAGUUUCAGUCUUGACUAUAUUCCAAAUCUUGUUUUAAUUAAUCUCUGUGGCUAUUUUGUUUGUUGUGAUUCAUUAGUUGAACUAGUACAUAUGUUGAAUAGUUUUGUCUAAUAUGAUCCUAAAUUCUUGAAUGCAAAUUUGAAAUGUGAUAUAUGCUAUUGAUUAUUGAAAUAUGGACCAUUAUCACGUUAGUUUUAUUUUUCAUCGUAUUUUGGAUUUAAUAACUCACUAUUUCUAGGUUUCCAUAGGUUAGCUUCUGCUUAUUUGUUUCAAUUUUAAUAUAAGAUAGAAUUGGAUUAGAUCACAGUAACUCAUUUGGAUUUGAGUGUUAAGGUCGAUUAGAGUAUAUUCCAAAUAAAAUGAGCAUGAAAUGGAAUUUUGUUUAUUUCAGUUUUAUUUCUAUUUUUUUCAUUAUCCACUAACAACAUGUUUAGGCCAUUGUCACUCUGGUAGGAAAUCUUAGGUUUUCUUUAUUUCAUUUGUAUUUGAGGCGAGAGGUCAUUUCUUUUAGUUUAUUAUCUGGGAAAUGCCCCGUAAAAUUUUUAUAUAUUUUAUCCGGGGUAUGCCCCAAAGUAUUUAUAUUUGGAGGCCGAAAGUAGAACUCGUAGUAUUUUUAUUUUUCUUUUAUUAGGUAGGAACGACCUCGGGCCUCAUUUGUGCUUAUUUUUGUUUUCUGUUUUUAUUUUUACCUCAAGUUGAAUAUUUUAAAAGCCGAUUAGAUCGAGUACACAAUCGUGACUUUUACGGGACUUGGGGAGUGCCUAACACCUUCUUCCCGAGUGAAAUGAACCCCCUUACCCGAAUCUCUGGUGUAGAUUUAAUUUUGGAGUUCAAAUUGUUUAAAAAGGAAAAAUCAUUUUGAUAAAACGGUGACCUGGCACACCAAAAUCAAUGUCAGGUGGCGACUCUGAGUUAUAUCCUUUUGAACACCAUUUUUGUCACUUUCAAAAUUGAAAAACCAUUUUCGAGCUUUACAAAAUCCUUUUAUUAUUUUUAAGAGGGUUAGUGAAGUUUUGUUUAAAAAAGGGUUGUGACAUCUCUGGCGACUCUGCUGGGGAGUUGCAGGUUCGAGCUUAUACUUAAUCUUGUUGGCUUUUAGGAUAUUCGGUUGAGGUGUUUGUUUUCUUUAUUUGCUUUGUUUGUUUGGUUUGUUUGUCUUAUUUCCUUGUCUUGUUGGUUAUUUGUUUAUCGCUUUUCUUAAUGUGUUACUUCUUUAUAAACUGUCAUCAUUUGCAUAACCAUGGGUCUUCCUUCUACAAUAAGUAUCGGAGUACGUGUCACGUGCACGGACUCUUUGUUGAGUCACCCUUAAUUUAGGAGCGGGGCCGUCAGACGUAUAGAGUGGGUGGAAAGCUUUAGCAGCCACCAUCGACCAUACGCUCCCCCGAAUUGUCUUGUUAGUGAACCCCAAACUUAGGUCAGCCUUUAGGUCAUUUUUAUUUGCAUCAUGUCAUUUACACCUAGUAGGGCUCGGUCCCAGGCACCGUGUCCCUUUGUAGGAAGCCUAUCCAAAUUUUGUCAAAAAUGGGCCUGUUGCCAAAAAAAAGACAUUCAAUCAUUCUUAUGUGAUACAUGUUGCAUUUUUUAGGGUAGAAAGGUCAUUUGGCGGACCGAUAUUUGGGAAAGAAGGGUGAAAAUGGAGCAAGUAGGGUCCGGUUAUAUUUUAAUUUCACAACUUUUACAAGAAAAAUAAAAAAAAAUGAAAAUGAAAAAAUUUAAAAAGAUUUUACACUUUCCCAUUAUUUUCCAAAAAUUCAAAAAAAAAAAAUGAAAAAUGAAAAAAAAACCAAAAAGAUUUUACACUUUUUCAUUAUUUUCCAAAAAUUCAAAAAAAAAGGAGAAAAAGAAAAUCCAAAAAGAUUUUACAUUUUCCAUCAUUUCUCAAAAAGACAAAAAAAAUAUGAUUUUCCAAUUUAGUUGCAUUUUUAAAAGGCUUUCUCCUAUGUUCAAUCUUCCCGAACUACGCGAACCUGAUUCUUAUCUUUCAAGACGCGAUACGUAGGCAACCCACAUAGGGCCCGGUAUUCCUAGUGUGUCUUAGGUUAUUGGCUUCACGGGGUCUUAGCCAAAUCUUGCAUGUUUAGCCACUUUUGGCCACAUCGCCAUUCUUGCAAAACGGGGUUAUUUUUGCAAAAGUGGUUCAAUUACCCAUGUCUUAGGAUCUUGAGUCUACAACUCGGUGUCAUAUUACUUUAAGGUCCUUCCUUUUUGAGUUUGCAUCUUUAACAACUUUGGCCAUAUCGGCUGUUUUUGCAAAAUGGGUAAUUUCUACAAAUUAAUUUUUGGGCCAUGAUUGGUUGGAGUUUGAGUCCAUAUAAGUUUUAGUGAGGUAUUUUCAUAUCUUUGAGGUCACCUUUAUUGAGUCUGCAUUUCUAGCCACUCUUGGCCGCGUAGGUUAAUUUUUAAAAAUAGCCCAAUCAUGUCUUGCAUGUGUCCAUAAGAGGUGAUGUGGUGUUGCAUAGUGUCUUGAGUCAUUAACUUUUUUUAGUCUUAUUCAGGUAUGGAUUAAUUUGCAACAGCUCGAGCAUGACAAAUACCCGAGGAUCAUUCUAGUCAAGACCAUUGCACGCACGAGCUGCUUGAAGAAACUUUUUAUUUUUUUUAGUCUAUUUUAUGUUGUCUUUUAAUUAUUAGUCUUGUACAAUAGUAUCGAGUCUGUCAGUCUAGUUAAGAUUGUCGAGUCUUUUGUUAUAGUACUUCCUGUUUUGUAUUUGAAAAACCAAAAAAAAAUUAUAAAUGAAAAAUUCAAAAAGAUUUUUAUUUUUAGUUUAUUUGUCCAUUACUUUUUUUUAGAACUACGCUUGAUCUGAUUCAUGAGGGACAUGAUAUGUAGGCAACCUACAUAGGGUUCGAUCGAAUCAUUUUUCAAAAAAUAAAAAAAAACAAGAAGAAGGAAAAAGAAAAAACAAAAAAAAA